rnacentral:rRNA from 1 species
GUGGGGAAUAUUGGACAAUGGGGGAAACCCUGAUCCAGCCAUGCCGCGUGUGUGAAGAAGGCCUUUUGGUUGUAAAGCACUUUAAGCGAGGAGGAGGCUACCGAGAUUAAUACUCUUGGAUAGUGGACGUUACUCGCAGAAUAAGCACCGGCUAACUCUGUGCCAGCAGCCGCGGUAAUACAGAGGGUGCAAGCGUUAAUCGGAUUUACUGGGCGUAAAGCGCGCGUAGGUGGCCAAUUAAGUCAAAUGUGAAAUCCCCGAGCUUAACUUGGGAAUUGCAUUCGAUACUGGUUGGCUAGAGUAUGGGAGAGGAUGGUAGAAUUCCAGGUGUAGCGGUGAAAUGCGUAGAGAUCUGGAGGAAUACCGAUGGCGAAGGCAGCCAUCUGGCCUAAUACUGACACUGAGGUGCGAAAGCAUGGGGAGCAAACAGGAUUAGAAACCCUAGUAGUCC